GAUGAACGCUAGCUACAGGCUUAACACAUGCAAGUCGAGGGGCAGCGCGUCGUAGCAAUACGAUGGCGGCGACCGGCGGAAGGGUGCGUAACGCGUGAGCAACUUGCCCGUCACAGGGGGAUAACCGGUGGAAACGCCGACUAACACCCCGUAACACAUUUCGCCGCAUGGCGGGAUGUUGAAAACUCCGGUGGUGACGGAUAGGCUCGCGUGCCAUUAGCUAGUCGGCGGGGCAACGGCCCACCGAGGCGACGAUGGCUAGGGGUUCUGAGAGGAAGGCCCCCCACACUGGGACUGAGACACGGCCCAGACUCCUACGGGAGGCAGCAGUGAGGAAUAUUGGACAAUGGAGGCAACUCUGAUCCAGCCAUGCCGCGUGAAGGACUAAGGCCCUAUGGGCCGUAAACUUCUUUAGACGCAGAGCAAUAAGGGCCACGCGUGGUCCGAUGAGAGUAUGCGUAGAAUAAGCAUCGGCUAACUCCGUGCCAGCAGCCG
rnacentral:rRNA from 1 species